GUCGAAACGGGUGGACUGGCAUGCCGGUUCACCUGCCUUAGGAUGGGGCUGCGUCCGAUCAGGUAGUUGGUGGGGUAAUGGCCCACCAAGCCUAUGACCGGUGCGGGCUCUGAGAGGAGGAGCCCGGAGAUGGACCCUGAGACAAGGGUCCAGGCCCUACGGGGCGCAGCAGGCGCGAAACCUUCGCAAUGCCCGAAAGGGUGACGAGGCUACCCCGAGUGCCGUCCGCUAAGGACGGCUUUUGUCGGGUCUAAAAAGCCCGACGAAUAAGGGGAGGGCAAGUCUGGUGUCAGCCGCCGCGGUAAUACCAGCUCCCCGACUGGUCGGGACGAUUAUUGGGUCUAAAGCGUCCGUAGCCGGCCCUGUAUGUGAUCCGUUAAAUCCAGCGGCUCAACCGCUGGGCUGCGGAUCAUACUAUGGGGCUAGGGGACGGGAGAGGCCGGGGGUACUCCGCGGGUAGGGGUAAAAUCCGCUGAUCCGCGGAAGACCAACAGUGGCGAAGGCGUCCGGCCAGAACGCGCCCGACGGUGAGGGACGAAAGCCAGGGGAGCGAACCGGAUUAGAUACCCGGGUAGUCCUGGCCGUAAACGAUGCCCGCUAGGUCUUGGUGAAGCUUAGGGUUUCACCAGGGCCGCAGGGAAGCCGUUAAGCGGGCCACCUGGGGAGUACGGCCGCAAGGCUGAAACUUAAAGGAAUUGGCGGGGGAGCACCACAAGGGGUGAAGCCUGCGGU
rnacentral:rRNA from 2 species